AGCAGCCGCGGUAAUUCCAGCUCCAAUAGCGUAUAUUAAAGUUGUUGCAGUUAAAAAGCUCGUAGUUGAAUUUCGAGAUCAAAUUGUUGGUCGUGCCUCGGUACGUACUGGCAUUAUUGAUUUCUCCCUUCUGAAGAACCUUGAUGUCAUUAAUUUGGUGUCUUGGGGAAUCAGGAACGUUACUUUGAAAGAAUUAGAGUGUUUAAAGCAGGCUCACGCUUGAAUACAUUAGCAUGGAAUAAUGAAAUAGGACGUUUGAUUCUAUUUUGUUGGUUUCUAGGAUCGACGUAAUGAUUAAUAGGGAUAGUUGGGGGCAUUAGUAUUCAAUUGUCAGAGGUGAAAUUCUUGGAUUUAUUGAAGACUAACUACUGCGAAAGCAUUUGCCAAGGAUGUUUUCAUUAAUCAAGAACGAAAGUUAGGGGAUCGAAGACGAUCAGAUACCGUCGUAGU
rnacentral:rRNA from 1 species